rnacentral:rRNA from 1 species
AGAAUGAACGUUGGCGGCGUGGAUUAGGCAUGCAAGUCGUACGGGCCGCAAGGCCAGUGGCGCAAGGGUGAGUAAGGCGACGGUAACCAACCCCGUGAUUGGGUAUAGCCGCGGGAAACUGCGGGUAAUCCCCAGCGACGUCCGGGAGGGGCAUCCCCUCCGGACCAAAGCCCCGGCGUCGCGGGACGGGCCGUCGUGCUAUUAGCUCGUUGGCGGGGUAACGGCCCACCAAGGCGAUGAUGGCUACCGGGCGUGCGAGCGUGGCCCGGCACACUGGGACUGAGACACUGCCCAGACUCCUACGGGAGGCUGCAGUCGAGAAUCUUCGGCAAUGGGCGCAAGCCUGACCGAGCGACGCCGCGUGGAGGACGAAGGCCUUCGGGUUGUAAACUCCUGUCGGAGGGGAAGAAGGUCCGCAAGGGCUUGACUGACUCCCGUGGAGGAAGCGACGGGCUAAGUUCGCGCAGCAGCCGC